UUCCUGAUGGCUCAGACGGUAAAGAAUCUGCCUGCAGUGCAGGAGACCCAGGUUCAAUCCCUGGUUUGGGAA
rnacentral:tRNA from 1 species